rnacentral:rRNA from 1 species
AAUCAACGCUGGCGGCGUGCCUAACACAUGCAAGUCGAACGAGAACGGCCCUUUCGGGGGUUAGUAAAGUGGCGAACGGGUGAGUAACGCGUGGAUGAUCUGCCCUCAAGAGGGGAUAACCCGGGGAAACCCGGGCUAAUACCGCAUAAGCCCUAUGGGGGAAAAGUAGUUUUUAUAUUGCUUGAGGAGGAGUCCGCGUCCGAUUAGCUAGUUGGUGAGGUAAGAGCUCACCAAGGCGACGAUUGGUAGCCGGUCUGAGAGGACGGACGGCCACACUGGGACUGAGACACGGCCCAGACUCCUACGGGAGGCAGCAGUGGGGAAUUUUGGGCAAUGGGGGCAACCCUGACCCAGCAACGCCGCGUGGAGGAAGAAGGUUUUCGGAUCGUAAACUCCUGUCCGGAGGGACGAAGCAAGUGACGGUACCUCUGGAGGAAGCCCCGGCUAACUCCGUG